AGUCACAUCACAUUGUAACACCCGUCUCUGUACGAUCACCGAAGUUAAGCAACAUCGAGCCUGAUCAGUACCUAGAUCGGUGAUCGCUUGGGAAUACCAGGGGUU